rnacentral:tRNA from 1 species
GCCUCAGUGGCCAAGUGGUAAGGCGUCGGUCUCGUAAACCGAAGAUCAUGGGUUCAACCCCCGUCUAAGGCU